CCUACGGGCGGCUGCAGUGGGGAAUAUUGGACAAUGGGCGAAAGCCUGAUCCAGCCAUGCCGCGUGUGUGAAGAAGGCCUUCGGGUUGUAAAGCACUUUCAGUGGGGAAGAAAGCCUUGGGGCUAAUACCCUCGAGGAAGGACAUCACCCACAGAAGAAGCACCGGCUAACUCCGUGCCAGCAGCCGCGGUAAUACGGAGGGUGCGAGCGUUAAUCGGAAUUACUGGGCGUAAAGCGCGCGUAGGCGGUCUGAUAAGCCGGUUGUGAAAGCCCCGGGCGCAACCUGGGAACGGCAUCCGGAACUGUCAGGCUAGAGUGCAGGAGAGGAAGGUAGAAUUCCCGGUGUAGCGGUGAAAUGCGUAGAGAUCGGGAGGAAUACCAGUGGCGAAGGCGGCCUUCUGGACUGACACUGACGCUGAGGUGCGAAAGCGUGGGUAGCAAACAGGAUUAGAUACCCGAGUAGUC
rnacentral:rRNA from 1 species